rnacentral:rRNA from 1 species
AAAACGACUCUCGGCAACGGAUAUCUAGGCUCUCGCAUCGAUGAAGAACGUAGCGAAAUGCGAUACUUGGUGUGAAUUGCAGAAUCCCGCGAAUCAUCGAGUUUUUGAACGCAAGUUGUGCCCGAAGCCAUUCGGCCGAGGGCACGUCUGCCUGGGUGUCACGC